AUACGGAGGGUCCAAGCGUUAUCCGGAUUCAUUGGGUUUAAAGGGUGCGCAGGCGGGCUUGUAAGUCAGUGGUGAAAUACUGCCGCUUAACGGUAGAACUGCCAUUGAUACUGCAAGUCUUGAAUAUGGUUGAGGUAGGCGGAAUGUGUUGUGUAGCGGUGAAAUGCAUAGAUAUGACACAGAACGCCAAUUGCGAAGGCAGCUUACUAAGCCAUUAUUGACGCUGAGGCACGAAAGCGUGGGGAGCGAACAGCAUUAGAAACCCGGGUAGUCC
rnacentral:rRNA from 1 species